AUCAGACAUUAUUACUAGCGCAACAAAAUACAGAACCACUACACUCGAAAUGAAUAACAAAUCAAGUAAAUAUUCAAAUUUUGAAACAGGGCAGCAACAAACAGUUAUCCAGACAUCCACAUCCAUAAACUGACUAGUUUUUCCAAAAACAUAACAGGAAAGAAAGAUGGUAAAGGUAGUUCCCUAAACAACUCCAGCUUGUAUAUGCCAAAUCAGGUAUCCUCAACUCUCGAAUGAAAGACAAAGCUUGGGAAUGUAGUCGUAAUGUCCUUGAGAUACUGAAGGGUCAUGUUCUUCAAAAGUGAAGGAUGUUGCAAGACCAAAUUUCUCCAUUCCUCCUUGUCAAUCUUUCCAUCAUGUUUAGUAUCAGCUUCUUCAAAAGUCUUAUCGAUUAUGCUCUCAAUAACAUCGUCUGACAGAUUCAUACCAGAUUCAGCAAGGGUAGCAACCACCAUUUGCUUCACCUCUUGCCUCUCAAUGAAGCCUUGUUGCUUGAGAUCGUAUAGCUGAAAAGAAAACUCAAUCUUAUCAUCGAUCGGAGCAUUUGGAUGGAAAACAG
rnacentral:misc_RNA from 1 species